UACGAGGGGGGCAAGCGUUGUUCGGAUUCAUUGGGCGUAAAGGGUGCGUAGGCGGCGCGGUAAGUCGGGUGUGAAAUCUCGGAGCUUAACUCCGAAACUGCAUUCGAUACCGCCGUGCUUGAGGACUGGAGAGGAGACUGGAAUUUACGGUGUAGCGGUGAAAUGCGUAGAUAUCGUAAGGAAGACCAGUGGCGAAGGCGGGUCUCUGGACAGUUCCUGACGCUGAGGCACGAAGGUCAGGGGAGCAAACGGG
rnacentral:rRNA from 1 species